UAUUCUUCUGCUGGUCCUGCUUAGUUAGAGUGUGUGCGAGGCGGAAUAAGGGUGGCUCACCCGACGGUGGAGGAGUUCUGAAACCCCAAAGUUGGGGCAGGACCUGGAAGGGUCUGAAAAGGCUCAGGAAGAAAGUGCAAGUAAGACAAACAGAAGGCAUCCAGGGGAUCUAAGGUGGAGACAUGUGGACAUCUCCUGAAAAGGUGACCUUCAAGAGUGGAAGGGUGGAUUUUUUUCAGUUUCAACCAAAAGAUUCCUGACUAAAGCAGCCUUAUCAUACAUCAAGGCACUGUCUUGUUCCAUCUCUGCCUACUUCUUCAACCUCCUCUGGGCUGGUGCCCGCAACCCCACACUCCUCAUGGUAAUGUCUUUAUUUAUUUAUUUUUGAAAUAAACCUUUUCUUUUU
ensembl:lncRNA